AGGACGAACGCUGGCGGCGUGCCUAAUACAUGCAAGUCGAACGGUCUUUCUAUGGAAGCUUGCUUCCACUGAGAAGAUAGUGGCGGACGGGUGAGUAACACGUGGGUAACCUGCCCAUAAGAGGGGGAUAACAUCCGGAAACGGGUGCUAAUACCGCAUAGUUUUCUUGAUCGCAUGAUUGAGAAAGGAAAGACGGCCUUUGUGCUGUCGCUUAUGGAUAGACCCGCGGCGUAUUAGUUAGUUGGUGAGGUAACGGCUCACCAAGACGAUGAUACGUAGCCGACCUGAGAGGGUGAUCGGCCACAUUGGGACUGAGACACGGCCCAAACUCCUACGGGAGGCAGCAGUAGGGAAUCUUCCGCAAUGGACGAAAGUCUGACGGAGCAACGCCGCGUGAGUGAAGAAAGGUUUUCGGAUCGUAAAACUCUGUUGUCAGAGAAGAACAAGUCGGAGAGUAACUGCUCCGGCCUUGACGGUAUCUGACCAGAAAGCCACGGCUAACUACGUGCCAGCCGCUGC
rnacentral:rRNA from 1 species